rnacentral:rRNA from 1 species
AGUGAACGCUGGCGGUAGGCCUAACACAUGCAAGUCGAACGGCAGCACAGUAAGAGCUUGCUCUUACGGGUGGCGAGUGGCGGACGGGUGAGGAAUACAUCGGAAUCUACUUUUUCGUGGGGGAUAACGUAGGGAAACUUACGCUAAUACCGCAUACGACCUACGGGUGAAAGCAGGGGAUCUUCGGACCUUGCGCGAUUGAAUGAGCCGAUGUCGGAUUAGCUAGUUGGCGGGGUAAAGGCCCACCAAGGCGACGAUCCGUAGCUGGUCUGAGAGGAUGAUCAGGCACACUGGAACUGAGACACGGUCCAGACUCCUAAGGGAGGCAGGAGUGGGGAAUAUUGGACAAUGGGCGGAAGCCUGAUCCAGGCAUACCGCGUGGGUGAAGAAGGCCUUCGGGUUGUAAAGCCCUUUUGUUGGGAAAGAAAAGCAGCAGGUUAAUACCCCGCUGUUCUGACGGUACCCAAAGAAUAAGCACCGGCUAACUUCGUG